UGACGGUACCUGAUGAAUAAGCUCCGGCUAACUACGUGCCAGCAGCCGCGGUAAUACGUAGGGAGCGAGCGUUAUCCGGAAUUAUUGGGCGUAAAGGGUGCGUAGACCGCUGUUUAAGUCAUUUGUAAAAGUGCUAAGCUCAACUUAGUGAGGCAAAUGAUACUGGACAGCUAGAGUACAGAAGAGGCAAGUGGAACUUCAUGUGUAGCGGUAAAAUGCGUAAAUAUAUGGAAGAACACCAGUGGCGAAGGCGGCUUGCUGGUCUGAUACUGACGUUGAUGCACGAAAGCGUGGGGAGCAAACAGGAUUAGAUACCCUGGUAGUCCACGCCCUAAACGAUGAGUACUAAGUGUUGCCGAGAGGCAGUGCUGAAGUUAACGCAUUAAGUACUCCGCCUGAGUAGUACGUACGCAAGUAUGAAACUUAAAGGAAUUGACGGGAGCCCGCACAAGCGGUGGAGCAUGUUGUUUUAUUCGACGAUACGCGAAGAACCUUACCAGGUCUUGACAUACCUUGCGAAGCUAUAGAGAUAUAGUGGAGGUUAACAAGAGUACAGGUGGUGCAUGGUUGUCGUCAGCUCGUGUCGUGAGAUGUUGGGUUAAGUCCCGCAACGAGCGCAACCCUUAUCUUUAGUUACCAUCAUUAAGUUGGGGACUCUAGAGAGACUGCCAGUGAUAAAUUGGAGGAAGGUGGGGAUGACGUCAAAUCAUCAUGCCCUUUAUGACCUGGGCUACAAACGUGCUACAAUGGCUGAAACAAAGAGAAGCGAAAUCGCGAGAUAGAGCAAACCUCAUAAAAGCAGUCUCAGUUCGGAUUGAAGUCUGCAACUCGACUUCAUGAAGUUGGAAUCGCUAGUAAUCGCGAAUCAGAAUGUCGCGGUGAAUACGUUCUCGGGCUUUGCACACACCGCCCG
rnacentral:rRNA from 1 species